GAAUUAUUUUCUGUCUGCAUGGAGUGAACUCCGUCUUCAAAUGAAUGGCUUUGUUUAGAGUGAGUCUGGUUUUCUUUCAAUGCGGACACGGGAGUCUUCUUUGCUGUGGAGUUGUAAUACAUAGAGCAGAGCGAUUGGUAUUCUAAUGUGGAGAAUGGCUUUUCCCGAGCCUCCCUGCGGUGGAGGAGCUCGCCUGGCUGCUGUGCUCUUCUGAGCUGCAGAAAGAAUGCAGCACGAUCCGCUCAAUAGGAGGAAGCUCUUCUUUUUUUCUGCCCUGAAAAAAGUUUGUGCACAGCCCACGCUUCUGGAGAGAAUUUCUGUCAUGAUGGCUUCCAUAGGGUGCUUGGUCUUCCAGAACAUUCUGCCUGAAAAAUGAGUGCUCUUCGUUUUAAAAUGACUUGAGGAGAUGCUUCAACAGAUGAAUUGCAUUCCUAAGACAGCAAAACUAUGCUUAAAGUCAAUAACAGAGCAUCUGCAAGAUCUUUUAAAAUAUGUGAGAAGACGCGCAACUGAUUGCUUUAGUCCCUAGGGAAGGCUCUUUUUUUCUGGUACUAUUUGGAGAAAUAAAACUGAAAUUAGUAUAAACAACUUCAGAAAAGCAUGAUACAGAUCUUACUACUUUAAAGGUGUGUUGCAAAUUCCAUUCAGCAAAUAUGACUUACUUAUAUUUCAGUAUUUUUGAGUGAAUCAAUGAUAUCAAGCGUUUGUAAACAGUCUAAGUGUCUGUCAGGGGAAUGGUAACUUCCUCAGAAAUGCUGGAGAGUAAGAUCUUCAGGGUAGGGACUGUGCAUGGAGAAAUGUGGGGUCUGGUAAAUCAUCCUUUUGGUAAUAUUUAUCUCUGUGAGGACAGGGGCAGAGGGCAAGUGCAAUUAAUUCCCUGAUCCUGGGGUUGCCUGGAGAUAAGCUCACGCCUGUCACAGCUUCAGGGGGUUGCAUUUCUUUGGUACUGGCAGGAGCCUCUGGGGGCCGUUAUGGGAGCUAGAAGUUGCUGUAACACAGGAAUGUCCUAGCUAGUGGGUACCCGCUCUUGUCAUUCAUCUUGCUAGAAGGACAGAAACUCUUGUGGAGAUGUCACAGAGAGAGCCUUGCUCACCCAGUACUUAAAGAGGAGAGCUGCUAUUCCAAGGAUAUUUCCUCAAAGGGCAGCAUGGAUGAUUUACAGUCCUCAUUAGGCAUAAGACAAGAUAUUUUUUUUUUCUUUAAAUGCACACAAUAAGUAUUUGCACGAAGUUAGAAGCCUUCUGUAGAGCAGUGUAGCUUACCUUUAAUUAUUAGUGGUUUGGUUUCUAGCUCUUAAACGUGUUACUUCUUCCACCAAAGAAAUGUCUCUGAGAAAUUCAUUACCAUCUCUCCAGAUAUGCUGUUUAAUUUCCCAGGUUGUCAGCUCCUGCACCGUGUUUUCUCUAAGAGCCAAGCACAUAAUGUGCACCACUGAGAUUCUUGUCAGUACUAUUAAAUGAAGCAAAUGAAGCUGGCCUUGCUAGUGCAGCAAAGUUAGUAUGUAUAUGCUAAAGCCACCAUCUUCAUGGGUUCCCUUAUCCUGCCAGUUCUGCCCAUCUGAUUUGGUUACUUGCAAAGAGAGUUGAUCCACUCAAAUAAAAAUUAACAGAAUCUCCAAGCAGUAGUAACUUUGUCUUUUCCUUAACAAGUAUGGUUUUGUUAUAUUGUUGCAGGAGUUAUAAUCCUGGUUGUUAUUGGUGGGUUUUUGAAAAGAGGGGGAAAGAUACUUACCAUCUGACCCUGUUGAUGGUGUU